ensembl:Mt_tRNA
GAGAAAGAAACAUGAAGGUCAUGUGGUUGGCUUGAAACUAACUUAAGGAGGUUCAAAUCCUUCCUUUCUUG